AUAUUGUUGAAAAGACUUGUUUUUUCUCAUUGUCAAGAGUUAGAUCAUUUGACGACCUUAAAGUUUAUGCCAGAAAAGAUGGUGGAGAAGGUCAUUUGGCUAAUGAUGAAAGGGUGAAAAAAUAUUGUUUACACUGAAGUUUUGCGAACUUUGUAAUAUAAAAUUAUUAUUAUACAUUCUUAUCAUUUUAGAUUUAGUUGAAUUUAAAUGAUUUUCAAUAUUUUAAUUUUUUGAUUCGUUCAUUUCCUAAUUUCGUUUCUUUGUUUCUCGCUUUCACACUAUACAAGCGAUUUGAUUUCGUGAUGGCAGCGGAUAGAAGAUUGUUUGACAAUUUAUGACGAGAGCAAGUUGUUGUGGUACGUCGCAUUGUCGAAACUGUGGUUCCAUUAAAGAAUGAACGCGAUCAACUGAAAAUUCAAUUCUAAUCAUUUAAUAAUAAGGAUCAACGCUUAUUGCGCCAGGACGUUCAAUUUCUUCAGAAGAAGGUGCCGUUCUACGAAAUUGCUCAUUCCCAUGCCUAUAACUUUCCUACAUCACGUGAAGAACAAAUGUACGCAGCAGAAGACAAGAAAAUUUCUUUUGCCUGGUUUUCACUAGGUCAUAUUUGACGUCAAAUGUUGUCAAAAUAAUGAAAACGGUUUGUCAUAUGAUGUCCUUUGCGUUUGCCGGCAUAUUUGGCAAAGCAUGGUAAUUUCAAAUGUCAGUCAAAUGAAAAAACAAUGUUCGAUAUGUGGCAAGAUUUGACAACUAAUUUUGAUUUGCCAACAUGUUGGCAAUUAUUUUCGUUUGCCGCACAAACAGGUGUUAAGGAAAUAAAAAGCAAACACGAUUUUUCACAUUUAAACUUUCAAAUAUGGAGGAAGAAAUGAAUUCAGAAAUUCAAACUCCAAUAAUCAAGCGGGUGCGGAAAAUGAAAGCAAAAUGGACAGCGGAAGAGACCGAGCGGCUGAUCCAAGAAGUAGAGUUCAGGGAAGGAACAUGGAAUUUUCUUUCCCAUGAUUACAGAGAUAGAAAUUUGUGAAUUUUAAAUAUGCCACGAUCAGAAGUAGCAGCCAAAUGGAACAGCCUUCGCUACUCUUUUCGCGCGGCCUUCAACCGAAAGGCACAUACAAAAAGUGGUCAAGGUGCUGGAAGAACGCCUACAAUGAACCCACUUUUUAAUUCUUUAAAGUUCCUCGAAGUCGAGCUCGAGAUGAUGAUGAGUAUAUUCAAGUGGUGGAACGUGCACUGGAGACCCUGACAUCAGCUACCAAAAGUGACGCUUGGGAUGGUUUAGGAAAUUUUGUAUCAUCCAAUGGCCGAGAGUGGGCCCAAGAAUCUCCACAACUGGCCAAAAAAUUUAAGCGGGAUAUAAGUUAACACAAUAUUUUAUUCCCACAUUAUAUGCUAGAAACAUAUAAACCGUUUGCAUACUUUGGAGUCCUAUUACAACCAAAAGUGCAACUGCGCUAAACGCGCAUCAGCUAAAUUCUUAAGUGAGCGAAACAAGCGCAACCAUGUUUUCUCCCCCAAAACCAAAUAGCUGCAGGUGAGCGCUACACGCGCAAACCCUUUUAGCUGACCAAGCAUCUUUGGUCACGUAGGCCGGCUCAAGCAUAGGUUAGAUUAUAAGCUUUAAAGUUAAGUGUAGUCAGUUUUAUAAUAAAGCUCAAGAGAAGCACAUAGUGCUGAUUUAUAAACGCAUUGUUUUAUUUUUUAUGUGGCGCCCGAGCAGGGACAUGAGGAAAAAAUAAUAAUAUUUUUUAUACUCGCGGACUAAACUUAAAUAACAUUUCGUACUCGGCCCCUUAGUACCUUUCGGAAAAAGGACGGGCAGUAUCAACCCAGCCGAACGAAAAGCAUAAGCUAAAUACAAAUACAUUGAACAAAAAGUGCGUGACGGGGAAAUUUAGAAUAAAUUAAACAAGUGUAAAAUAAUACAACUAUAAAAGGAAAAAUUUAAAUUAAUUAACCAAAUACAACCAAUACAACAAAUACAACUCCUAGAGGAAAGAUUUAAAUUAAUUUAUCAAAUACAACCAAUACAACAAAUACAACUCCUAGAGGAAAGAUUUAAGUUAAUUCAUCAAUUACAACAAAUACAACUACAAGAAGAAAGAUUUAAAUUAAUUCAUCAAAUACAACCAAUACAACAAAUACAACUACUAGAGGAAAGAUUUAAACUAAUCCAGCAAAUACAACAAAUACAACUACAAGAGGAGAAAUCUAAAUUAAUCACACAAAGGAGGAAACACUAUCAAC